rnacentral:lncRNA from 1 species
CAUGAGCUUAAAAGGCGACACUCAAUGCUUCUUGUACGCAUGAGAUUAAAAGGUGACACUCAACGCUCCUGGCCCGCAAGAGCAUAAACUGUGUACGGUAAAAUCACCAUCAAAAUCAGCAUUAAAACCAUCAAAACCAUAAAAAAAAACAAUCCAUCAUUUCCUUUGAACUACAUUAUGACUUUAUCCCUCCUCAAUUGAGGGUACGUAGGCAACUUGAAACUUCAAAACUUUAAGUACAGUCACAUCACCAACAAAAAAAAAUGCAAAC